GACGAACGCUGGCGGCGUGCUUAACACAUGCAAGUCGAACGGAAAGGCCCUGCUUGCAGGGUGCUCGAGUGGCGAACGGGUGAGUAACACGUGGGUGAUCUGCCCCUUACUUUGGGAUAAGCCUGGGAAACUGGGUCUAAUACUGGAUAGGACCAUGCUGUAGGUGGUGUGGUGGAAAGAUUAGUUUCGGUAAGGGAUGAGCUCGCGACCUAUCAGCUUGUUGGUGGGGUAAUGGCCUACCAAGGCGUCGACGGGUAGCCGGCCUGAGAGGGUGGACGGCCACAUUGGGACUGAGAUACGGCCCAGACUCCUACGGGAGGCAGCAGUGGGGAAUAUUGCACAAUGGGCGCAAGCCUGAUGCAGCGACGCCGCGUGGGGGAUGACGGCCUUCGGGUUGUAAACUCCUUUCAGCCAUGACGAAGCCCUUGUGGUGACGGUAGUGGUAGAAGAAGCACCGGCUAACUACGUG
rnacentral:rRNA from 1 species